rnacentral:rRNA from 1 species
AUUGAACGCUGGCGGCAGGCCUAACACAUGCAAGUCGAGCGGAUGAAGGGAGCUUGCUCCUGGAUUCAGCGGCGGACGGGCGAGUAAUGCCUAGGAAUCUGCCUGGUAGUGGGGGAUAACGUCCGGAAACGGGCGCUAAUACCGCAUACGUCCUGAGGGAGAAAGUGGGGGAUCUUCGGACCUCACGCUAUCAGAUGAGCCUACGUCGGAUUAGCUAGUUGGUUAGGUAAAGGCCUACCAAGGCGACGAUCCGUAGCUGGUCUGAGAGGAUGAUCAGUCACACUGGAACUGAGACACGGUCCAGACUCCUACGGGAGGCAGCAGUGGGGAAUAUUGGACAAUGGGCGAAAGCCUGAUCCAGCCAUGCCGCGUGUGUGAAGAAGGUCUUCGGAUUGUAAAGCACUGUUAGUUGGGAGGAAGAGCAGUAAGUUAAUACCUUGCUGUUUUGACGUUACCAACAGAAUAAGCACCGGCUAACUUCGUG